UACCUCUUCUGCUCUCUUUCUCUCUCUAAAAACACCUCUCCUUCGAGCACCACCUCUGCUUCUGUUCGUUGCAAACUCUUCUGCGUCGCAUUCUAGGGUUAGGGUAAGGUUUCGGUUGGAGUUCUUGUUGGUGUAUCAAGAAAUCGUGCAGUGGAUGUUCCCGGAGGUGGAAUAGUUCUCAAUGGCGACAGCGCCGGUGAAGUCACAGCCUCUACACAACUUCCCUUUGUCCUUCUUGAAAUGGGGGAAGAACCAGAUGAACAAUCAUCGGUGCAGGAAGCCGGUGGAUGCCUCGCGGGAAUCGCCACCGGAUGGCCGGAAGAAUGAGUCCGAGCCGGACUCUGACGGCGGGUCCAAGAACGAGUCUGAUUCGGAGAACAGGAAGCUGCCUCUCGGAUCGAGGACGGCGAGGAGCCGUCAUGCGGUUGCUUCGCCUUCUCCGGUGGAGAAGGCGCAGAAGAAUCAGGCGUUGGUGGAGAGAGAAGGCGGGGAAGUGGAUGAAGGUGAAGGAGAAGAAUCAGUUCAGAAGCCGUGGAAUUUGAGGCCUAGAAAAGCGGUUUCGAAGAGUCCGAUUGAGAUCGGAGUGGCGCCUAAGAAUGGAGAGUUGCAGGAAGCGGUUCCUGGAGUUCCGCACAGUGAGAAUCAGCCGAAAUCGCUGCGACUGCGUGGUUUCGCUGAAUCGCAUAGCUCGGAGAAGAAGGAGAAAAGGAAGUUUUGGAUCUCCCUCUCCCGAGAGGAGAUUGAGGAAGACAUCUUUGUGAUGACUGGAUCGAAGCCUGCUCGGAGACCGAAGAAGAGAGCGAAGAAUGUACAGAAGCAGCUUGACAACGUUUUUCCUGGAUUAUGGCUGGUUGGGGUUACACCGGAUUCUUACCGACUUCCUGAUGCUCCGGCGAAGAGGUAGAUAUGUUCUCACCAGAUGAUCGCCUAGUUCCAGAUAAAAAGAGGUAGAUAUGUUCGUUACAGGUUGUGAUUUUUAAAGGUCUUAAGAAGGUGGAAAGCUUGUCCCGGCUGUUGGAGUGGUGUUUCCACAGAAACUGUGACAUUGAAACCUCAGUUGGAGACUUCCCUACUGAUUUGGGGAGCAGAGUAGCAAGCAAGCAUGCUUGUUUGCAAAUCCUAAAUCAAUGCAGGAAACAUUAUUGGAUGCACUUCAUGCUUCCUCAUCUGGAAGAAUACUUCAAUUCAGUUAGCUUCAUGAAGAGGAACAUUCCCUAUGAGGUUGAGAGUUUCUAUUUGGCUCCAUCUUUCCCUUUUAAUAUUCGUUUUUACAUUGAUGGUCAUUGAUAAUUAUGAUUUGCUACAAAUUAUUGAUAUUAAGAGCUGAAAGCAUUCUGAAUGAUUUUGAUGAUUGGUAAGAAUAUAUGAAGAACUAGUCAUUUUCAUUGUAGAUGGCUGUAUUAUAUUUAGCAGAGCUGUUUAUUUGAGUAACUGUUGACUGUUCUUCAAUUCUGUGGCUUUCUGUAUCUAUUUCUGUUCUCUAGACAAUUUUGUUUAGAAAGGUAAGUAGAUUAUACUGCAUUAUGAUGGGGACAGCACACAAUUGCAUGCCAAUCUUCUCUGUGGUGUGGGAGUUGAAAAAUCUAUGAAGUCUUUGUUUCAUAAUUAGAUUAGUACCCUUAGAUGCUUGAGUAGACCAUUAUGUUCUCUAAGAGUGACAUUGGUUUUAACUGCUUUGAGUUAAUAAUUGUGAUGGUUACUUAGAAGAUAUGGAGAUUUACACAUAUCUGCAUUUGAGGUUGUAUGGUGCUUUCCCAUUUGGACAAUGUGGAUGUUAGAAAAUCUAUCAAAUUCUACUUCAUGUUAUGUUAUAAUUGCCUUGAGGUUUUUUUGUUAUUUGGACUCUUAACUUGUUUCCUUUGUACUAGCAAAUGUUGCCCUUCCCUUUUUGUAAUUUUGCCUUGAUUUCUUCUUUUUAAUUUGUUGAAUGGUUGGUUAUGGCCAAGCCCUAGCCUAUGCCUCACCUCACGACUACCCCUUUUCCAUGCACUGCGAAGCUGCUGCCCUGCCUUAUAUUACCUACAGAAGCUCAAGCCCCUGACCUCUUUCACUUAUCAACAGACCAGAGGUCAGUUUUAAUUUUACAUCAUAUUUUAUUGGAGGAAUGACAUACUAGGUGGCUUUAUAACAGUUUUCUUGGGUUCCUUUUACAUUUUCAUUAAUUUGUUGUGAAACCUUUUUUGGUCAUUAGCAAACCCCUUUAAUUUUCAUUCUUAUUGAUUCUGAAAUUACUUUGAUGUCAGGAAAAAAAAAUUAGAAGGAGAUUCUAUAUUUUUCCUUGUUUUGGGUGUUCAUCAGAAGUACAUCUGAAAAGAUUUCUGCCUUGAAACAUAACAAAAUCCAGCAGUACCUCAGUGGCCUCUUGACAUAUUGCUUUCUGGUAGUCUGGAAUCCCUUCCAAAUACAACCAAAGCUGAAAGCUGAAAGCUGGCUGAUGGACUAAUGCAGAUACCAAAUAACAAAAAUAACCAUAAUCAUUUUUCCUCCUUCAGUUUGUUAUCACAUUCAGCGUCCCUUAGUAUCUCUGGUGUUUGUGGAACUUACUGAGGCUGAAGAAAUACUUUUCCCUCUCUAGCAGCUUAUGUUCAUGGACCUACUUGUUGUGCUGGGAAAGGCAAAAGAACUGUAAAUGGAAGCUUAAGGAUAUUCAUGUUGCUCUGGGAAACAUUCUCUAUGGACAUUUGUAAACAUCAUGGUGCAUAGGAAGAUGAAUUGGGGAUCGGAACCGUGCUUUGGAGUAAAUUCAAGAACAUCAAUGCAUGGGAUUGCACCCUAUCGUUCCGUGUGCCCAACUGGAUUUGCUUGGCCUGUAUGCAUAUGCCAUCAAUGUGAAGCUUUGCCGUAGUUUGGAGCAUAUGCUUGUCCAACAAGAGGCUUGAGUUGGAAGAGUGCGAACCUAGAUCGUGUGCCAGGGAAUUCAUCAUGGUCGAUGUUGAGCUAACGAUAAUAUGGGUGAUUUGACUUAAAACAGACCGCAAAGCAUUUCAGUGCUUUGUUGGCUGUAUCGCAUUUGGGUAGUCUGGCAUUUGAACUUAUCUCUCUUCUUACCAAGCAUGUGAUCAGUUUUUUGUGUAUAGAGGAAAAAACAUUUAUUUUCUUUAAUUUAAUUAUAUAUAUACCGAUCACUCGAUAAUGAGAUUA